rnacentral:rRNA from 1 species
CAGAGGGGGCAAGCGUUGUUCGGAAUUACUGGGCGUAAAGGGCGCGUAGGCGGCCUGUUAAGUCGAACGUGAAAUCCCCGGGCUCAACCCGGGAACUGCGUCCGAUACUGGCAGGCUUGAAUCCGGGAGAGGGAUGUGGAAUUCCAGGUGUAGCGGUGAAAUGCGUAGAUAUCUGGAGGAACACCGGUGGCGAAGGCGGCAUCCUGGGCCGGCAUUGACGCUGAGGCGCGAAAGCCAGGGGAGCAAACGGGAUUAGAUACCCCGGUAGUCCUGGCCCUAAACGAUGAAUGCUUGGUGUAGCGGGUAUCGAUCCCUGCUGUGCCGAAGCUAACGCAUUAAGCAUUCCGCCUGGGGAGUACGGUCGCAAGGCUG